AGGGAGGCCUGGUGUGCUGCAGUCCACGGGGUCACGAAGAGUCACGACUGAGUGACUGAACAGAACUAAACUGAACCUCACAAAUGUAUAAACCUCACUGAUGUAUUCCAGCUCCUAGAACACAGCCUGCCCAGGAAGAGUCACUGUGAAUAUUGGCUGGAUAAAUAACUCUCUGUGGAAAUCAGUGUUGUGGUGCCUUGUGACAACCUGGAAUAACUGACAAAAGUUAAUCAGCGAUGUCAUCAUAACACAUCACACUGUUCUGAUUUCAUUUUCAAAAAUGAUAUAAAAUUGGAGGAUUGGGAAAGAAAACAACAUGGUUCGUCUUUCCCAGUUUCAAACACCGGAGUCCUCAAGUUCUCCAGAUAUGUUAAAUGAAACAGAGUGUCUCACAUUAUGAUAAGCCUAUUCACCUCGGCUUUGUUCAAGUCCACAAAUGCAAUCAUUCCUGGACCAGGAACGAAGGGGAGUCCUAAACCAGACACGGGGCCUGUGGAGGAGAGCAG
rnacentral:lncRNA from 1 species